UACGUAGGGUGCAAGCGUUGUCCGGAACUAUUGGGCGUAAAGAGCUCGUAGGCGGUUUGUCGCGUCUGCUGUGAAAACUCGGGGCUUAACUCCGGGCCUGCAGUGGGUACGGGCAGACUAGAGUGCGGUAGGGGAGACUGGAAUUCCUGGUGUAGCGGUGAAAUGCGCAGAUAUCAGGAAGAACACCCGUGGCGAAGGCGGCUCUCUGGAACGCAACUGACGCUGAGACGCGAAAGCGUGGGGAGCAAACAGG
rnacentral:rRNA from 1 species